UGCACGGUGGCGCAGUUGGUAGCACUGUUGCCUUGCAGGCAAGAAGGUCCUGGGUUCGAUUCCCGGCCGGGGGUCUUUCUGCAU